AACACUGUUAACCUGCGGUACCUGCGGAAGGAUCAUUACAAGUGACCCCGGUCUAACCACCGGGAUGUUCAUAACCCUUUGUUGUCCGACUCUGUUGCCUCCGGGGCGACCCUGCCUUCGGGCGGGGGCUCCGGGUGGACACUUCAAACUCUUGCGUAACUUUGCAGUCUGAGUAAACUUAAUUAAUAAAUUAAAACUUUCAACAAUGGAUCU
rnacentral:misc_RNA from 1 species